rnacentral:lncRNA from 1 species
GAUUCUAGAAACUUGUCUCUAAAGGUUCUAAAGACUAUGUCCCUAACACCUAAUCCUAAUCCAACCUCAAUCAAAUCCUAGACAAACCCUAUAUCCUAAACCAAAUCUUAAUCAAAUUUUAAUCUCUAACCAAAUGCUAAUCCAAACCCUAAAUCCUAAACCCUAAACCAAAUCCUAAUUCAAAUCCUAAAUCAUAAAUCCUAAACCAAACCCUAAUCCAAAUCCUAAAUCCUAAACCAAAUCUUAAAUUCUAAAUCAAAUCCUAAUCCAAAUCCUAAAUCCUAAACCAAAUCCUAAACCCUAAAUCAAACCCUAAUCCAAAUCCUAAACCCCAAAUCAAAUCUUAACCAAAUCCUAAACCAAAUCCUAGUAAUUCCUACAACAUA